AGCUUUUCACUUCAAGUGAUCUUAUAAGCCUGGAGGCUUGACUGCUUUUGGAUUAGAAUCCCAUCCCUCAUCUUAUACAAAAAAAAAUAAUAAUAUUUAAAAAAUAAAAAAAAAUGUUUUGAAUAGUGCAUGAAACCACUUGGAACUCAAGGCGAUUACCUCAACCUGCCACCUUUUAAGGAGCUUUGGGAAGAUAGUACCGUAACUGACAUGUAUGGGUCAAGUUUUAACUAUCAUGGAUGUUAUUUCAAUGUAUGCUUUGUUCUGUCCACAGGGAAUUUGGGAAAGCUAAAAUAAAAACACAGCACAGCUGAUACUGUAAUCAAGCAGAAAAAAAAAAAAAACCAAAUAUAUAUAUACUAAAAAACCCCACAGGAAACUAGUUAUAGAAGGACACAAAUAUUUUGACCAAUGGGAUUACUAUAGUUGCUUGCUUGUGCUUCAGAUUCAUUUCUGAGCUUCCCCAUAUCCAAGGAAGAGAGGAAAGUGAGGUGAUUUGUAUAGUUCUUAUCACAGGAAAUGAUGGCAUUUCUUACUUUAUUGGGCGGCAGAGGCCUUAUGCUUCUUUAGCAUGAAACCCCUUUAACAACAGAUAGGACUUUGAGAAAGAACUCUGUGAAAGAUCUAGAAGGAACAGAAAUCUAAAUGCAUAUAGAUCAUUUGUCUUUAUUUAUAACUGAUCCGUCCUUGAGAAGACUACAUUUCCAACAAGCUUGUCAUUUGCUUCAUCCUCUUAUAACUCAGAACAGAGCCCCCAGAUGCAGAUAUGAAGCAGAGGGGAUGCUCUUAGAAGAACAGAUGCAGACACUCUGCAUUCAUCACUGAUCACCUGCAGAGAUGCAGCUUUGAAAUUGUAAUGGACAUUUUCUUUUGCCAGCGUCAUUUAACUAGUCCCUUGGUCUAAGAACUCUGACUGUUAUUGUUAUGUGGGCCAAAUCAAAAGCAUAACAUUGUCAAGUGGAAAAGACUUAAUAAAGGGCUUUAGUGAAUCUUUUUUAUUGUCA
rnacentral:lncRNA from 12 species